rnacentral:rRNA from 1 species
GUACCAGCAGCUGCGGUAAUACGAAGGGGGCUAGCGUUGCUCGGAAUUACUGGGCGUAAAGGGCGCGUAGGCGGAUCGUUAAGUCAGGGGUGAAAUCCCGGGGCUCAACCUCGGAAUUGCCCUUGAUACUGGCGAUCUUGAGUAUGAGAGAGGUAUGUGGAACUCCGAGUGUAGAGGUGAAAUUCGUAGAUAUUCGGAAGAACACCAGUGGCGAAGGCGACAUACUGGCUCAUUACUGACGCUGAGGCGCGAAAGCGUGGGAGCAAACAGGAUUAGAUACCCUGGUAGUCCACGCCGUAACGAUGAUUGCUAGUUGUCGGGCUGCAUGCAGUUCGGUGAC